rnacentral:rRNA from 1 species
GACGAACGCUGGCGGCGUGCUUAACACAUGCAAGUCGAACGGAAAGGCCCUGCUUUUGUGGGGUGCUCGAGUGGCGAAAGGGUGAGUAACACGUGAGUAACCUGCCCUUGACUUUGGGAUAACUUCAGGAAACUGGGGCUAAUACCGGAUAGGAGCUCCUGCUGCAUGGUGGGGGUUGGUAAGUUUCGGCGGUUGGGGAUGGACUCGCGGCUUAUCAGCUUGUUGGUGGGGUGGUGGCUUACCAAGGCUUUGACGGGUAGCCGGCCUGCGAGGGUGACCGGCCACAUUGGGACUGAGAAACGGCCCAGACGCCUACGGGAGGCAGCAGUGGGGAAUAUUGCACAAUGGGCGGAAGCCGUAUGCAGCAACGCCGCGUGCGGGAUGACGGCCUUCGGGUUGGAAACCGCUUGCGCCUGUGACGAAGCGUGAGUGACGGUAAUGGGUAAAGAAGCACCGGCUAACUACGUG